rnacentral:rRNA from 1 species
UACAGAGGUCCCAAGCGUUGUUCGGAUUCAUUGGGCGUAAAGGGCUCGUAGGCGGCCAACUAAGUCAUACGUGAAAUCCCUCGGCUUAACCGGGGAACUGCGUCUGAUACUGGAUGGCUUGAGUUCGGGAGAGGGAUGCGGAAUUCCAGGUGUAGCGGUGAAAUGCGUAGAUAUCAAGUGGAACACCAGUGGCGAAGGCGAGUCUCUGGACAUUUCCUGACGCUGAGGCACGAAAGCCAGGGGAGCAAACGGG